rnacentral:rRNA from 1 species
UCAGGCCUAACACAUGCAAGUCGAACGGACCCUUCGGGGUUAGUGGCGGACGGGUGAGUAACGCGUGAGGAUCUGCCUACAGGUGGGGGACAACAGUUGGAAACGGCUGCUAAUACCCCAUGUGCCGGAAGGUGAAAGGUUAACUGCCUGUAGAUGAACUCGCGUCUGAUUAGCUAGUUGGCGGGGCAAUGGCCUACCAAGGCGACGAUCAGUAGCUGGUCUGAGAGGAUGAUCAGCCACACUGGGACUGAGACACGGCCCAGACUCCUACGGGAGGCAGCAGUGGGGAAUUUUCCGCAAUGGGCGAAAGCCUGACGGAGCAACGCCGCGUGCGGGAGGAAGGCCUUAGGGUUGUAAACCGCUUUUAUCAGGGAAGAACACAAUGACGGUACCUGAUGAAUAAGCCUCGGCUAAUUCCGUGCCAGCAGCCGCGGUAAUACGGGAGAGGCGAGCGUUAUCCGGAAUUAUUGGGCGUAAAGCGUCCGCAGGUGGCCAAUUAAGUCUGUCGUUAAAUCGUGGAGCUCAACUCCAUACAAGCGAUGGAAACUGAUUGGCUAGAGUACGGUAGGGGUAGCGGGAAUUCCAGGUGUAGCGGUGGUAGCGGUGAAAUGCGUAGAUAUCUGGAAGAACACCAGCGACGAAAGUGCGCUACUGGGCCUGUACUGACACUCAUGGACGAAAGCCAGGGGAGCGAAAGGGAUUAGAUACCCCUGUAGUCCUGGCCGUAAACGAUGAACACUAGGUGUUGCGCGAAUCGACCCGUGCAGUGCCGUAGCCAACGCGUUAAGUGUUCCGCCUGGGGAGUACGCACGCAAGUGUGAAACUCAAAGGAAUUGACGGGGGCCCGCACAAGCGGUGGAGUAUGUGGUUUAAUUCGAUGCAACGCGAAGAACCUUACCAAGGCUUGACAUCCCCCGAAUCUCUGGGAAACCGGAGAGUGCCUUCGGGAGCGGGGAGACAGGUGGUGCAUGGCUGUCGUCAGCUCGUGUCGUGAGAUGUUGGGUUAAGUCCCGCAACGAGCGCAACCCACGUCCUUAGUUGCCAUCAUUCAGUUGGGCACUUUAGGGAGACUGCCGGUGACAAACCGGAGGAAGGUGUGGACGACGUCAAGUCAUCAUGCCCCUUACGUCUUGGGCUACACACGUACUACAAUGCUACGGACAGACGGAGGCGAAGCCGCGAGGUGGAGCAAAACCGAUAAACCGUGGCUCAGUUCAGAUUGCAGGCUGCAACUCGCCUGCAUGAAGGCGGAAUCGCUAGUAAUCGCAGGUCAGCAUACUGCGGUGAAUACGUUCCCGGGCCUUGUACACACCGCCCA